CUCGCCAGUUGGUAGAACAUCUUUAUACAGUUCAGCCAGUAACUUGACAAGAAGAGUUUCCUCUGCGAAACAGGAUUCCACGUCGAGCACAUUUGUGAUCAUGAGGACCCUUGGUGUUAUCAUACUGGCAGCCAUGAUCGUCUUGGUGACGUCACGUGUUCGUUAUUCGGACAAACCGGAAUCACCGCGAGAAGCAAAAUAUAGCCCACUUAAAGCAUUCUGGGAUAAGAUCCAAAGGGAUGAAGAUUCAAAGUGCAACCGAUUCUGCCAAAAAUUGUGCAAUAGGUUUGACCCUGGCAACUGUGCCAUCUGCGGUUGCGGAGACCAAUAAGCCUUUUCAAAAUCAGUGGCUGGCAUUGCAUCCCAGGAGUGUGGAUUCCGCGGGAAGCAGUUAUUCUUUUUUGACGUAUCAAAACAAGACUUCUUUCAUGAGGGCAUAUGCGUUAUCAUUAAUCAUCAAAAGUUUUUGCAAAGUUUAGUUGUUUUUUCAUCACUUUCCUAAUAGUCUAGUACCGUUGUUAUCAAUGAAAGUAGUCGCAAGCUAUUUUGUAAUUAAUUUAGAUCAUUCUGAUUUUCAA